AAACAAGUGGUAGAAAGAGG
rnacentral:misc_RNA from 1 species